AACAAAUCGAAAAAAGGAAGAUAUUGCCGUGUGGCAGCGCAUCAUCCGUUUAGAUGCCAUCCGAGCGAACGCAGAAUGGGCGACCUACUCGCACGCCCAAGCAGGCAUCUCCAAGGACAAGGCAUAUCAGUCAGCCGUAGCCGUGGGAUUGAAAGAUUUUGGCCACCUGGAGCCCUACGGAAUCUACCAUGCCGCCCGUCUGGUCGCAGUGCUAGAAGCUUAUGCCCUAUACG
rnacentral:misc_RNA from 1 species